UGUGUGUGUGUGUGUGUGUGUGUGUGUGUGUGCGCGCACACACACACACACACACAUGUGCAAG